UGAGCGUGACCCUGCCCGGCUGCUGAUGCCAGAUGUGAGGGAAGGUGCAGUGCCGCAUAGCCAAGGAUUUGAUUUGGGGUUUGGUUUGUAACUACUUUAAAAAAGCCAAACAAACAAAAAAAAACCCCCAAACAACAACAACAAAACAAAACAAAAACAAAAACAAACACCCCCCCCAAAAAAACCCCAAAACAAACAAAAAAAAAACCCCAAAAAAACCCCCAAAACAAAACAAAACAACAACAAUAAAACCCCCCUGUGCUAACGACUUUCACAACGCAAGGAGUGACUAGACUGCAAAGCACCUCAGGGACCAGGAUCGGUGGAAGGUGGAAGUGCCUUUUUUUAGCUUUUUUUAGCUGUGUCAAACAGCACAAGAAGGAGUUUGGCCGUAGCAGGGAACCCGUCAGUGAGUUGCGGAUUUUUCCUGCAGAACGUAACUUGUAGCUGGCUUAAAUUUGCACUAAUGUCAAUGUUAUAUCACGGAAAGUAUUCUUACCAUUUCGAUGAUGAUCACCACUGCUGAGGAUGCAGAUUUUAUUGUUUCUCUGAACUCAAGAGCAUUCAAGCACAGAAGUAUCUGCUGUAUCCAGCCUCCUUCUGGUUUGAGCAUAAGGAAUAAAACAAGAGAUGGAUUUCUGCAUAGCUGACGUCGAGAAAGGAUGAGUGGGCCAAAGGAGGAGGCCACGUAGAGAUAGGAUGGUCCUGUUUUGGCUCUGAAGGACUGAACAGAAAAGAAAAAAAUCAUAUGACUGGAGCUUUGAAGGACACCAUGGCCAAAAAAGUAACUCCUGCCUCAGUAAGUGUUUACAUAUUUAAAUAUUAAAGCACACACGCCUGAGUAUGCUAAUAAGAUUAUUGAAGUACAUGCUACCACAUACAUGACUAUACUACUCAAUCCUCCACCUGGAUUACGCUACACGUAAAGAAGGAGGAGGAGAAUAAGACGGGGCUGUAUGUAAGCUGGAUAGAAUUUUCGUGUACUUAGUGAAAGACCCGAAAUAUCUUGGAGUCAGUUGGUGGGUUACUCUCCUCUCUUCACAAACAGAGAUGCCUGCUUGGUAAGCUUCUGCAUAGGACUAUAGUUAUUACCCAGGCUAACACAAUAUUAUUGUUAUUGUUAGAGCUCUGUCACAUCUAGUGCUGUUUAUCAACAGCAAUUCCAAGUCUGUGCUUCUGUUGUUUCAGUAAACCAAACUCUGUAUGCUAUGUGUGAAUCUGGGACAGUGAAGGUUCUUAUUAUGCACAGUUUGACCUGCAGUUUUGGAUUGGUGAAUGGCACUAUUUGUGAAUCUGGGCUUGUGAAAGUUCUUAUUGAACACCACCAGACCUAUAGUGCCAAAUUGAUUAUAAUAAUGAAUCAAGCCCAGCCACAUUUAGACUCUCUGAUCUCUAAGGUCCAGCUGGAAUGCAGGGGUCAUUAUUUUCUGUCAAUUUCUAUAUCAUUAACAUGAUAGAUGGACUAUCAAUUUUAUGCUUAUAUUGAUUUGCAUUAAUACUAACCUAGCUACUGACAGUCUUCUAGCUUUUUUGUUUGUUUGUUUGUUUGUAUAAUAAACUAUUUUUCUCCUGUUCACUGAUAUGUUUUAGACAAUUUAUAGCUUGUUAUUGGGAACUUAGAACAGCAAUGUUUUCCACAUAUUCUUUUGGAGCUUUCUCAUGCACUACAUCUAAGUACAGUCCAUCCUUUAGCAUGGGGAAUGCUUACUUGGCUCCAAAGUCUCAAAGGUGCCUGGCAGUUUUCAGGCUUGUAAGACAAGUAGAAAAUCCAUAUGCUAUCUCUGCAUCAUAUAUCACAGAGCAAUACAGCAAAGCUAAGAAAUGACAAGCCCUGCUUUUUAAAGAAUACUCUGUUUCUUAGCAACCUAUUAUCCAAUAUGUAGUUAUAAAUAUUUUUUCUCAAAUUUGUUAUACUUUAAUUACGCAGGGAGAUGUACAAUAGUUAUAAAGGCAUGAAGUUUUGCUAUAAAUGGAAACCUGUAGAGAAUCAGAAUACCAGGUUGGGAGGGCGUCUUAAGGUUUAUCUGGUCCAACUUUUCUUCGUAAAAGCAUGGUAUAAGCAAAAUGGUCUACAUGAAUCUUAGAAAUGUCAAAACAUUUGGGUAUCCACCACUUUAUGGGGAGAUUGUUCCCAUGACCAAUUGCUCUCACUGUAAAAUAUUUUCCUCUUCUGUCUAAUCAGAAUCUCCCCUGAAUUUUGUACUCAUUAUCUUUUACAUGUGACUACUUGUAAAAAAAGUCUCCACCUUCUUUAUUUGCAUCAGAAGCAGGCUUUGCUUCAAAGCUUUCAUAUCAUUGUCCCAGACUUUGGUGACCUAAAGACAGUAUCUUAUUAACCUAUCAAAAAAAAUUCACUUUUUCUUUCCCAUUGUCCUGCAUGAGGGAGCCUCUUCUCUCUACCUUUUUGAUAGCACCCCAAGCAUCUGCAUUACUUCCCAACCUGGUCUUUGCAGUCAUAUAUUGCAGGCUCCUAGUAAACCUGCCCCUCCUUCAGUCCUGAGUAUUACUCAUGCAGAGGUCACUGUAUUCUCCUUCCACAAACCUAAGCUGUAUCCUACUUGCAGCACAGUUUCCUUCUGCUCCACACCUCAAACCUGGUGGUCUCUCAAAGCCAGACACUGGUGCUUAGCCUGAUCUACAGAGCUAGCAAAAAAGGGCACAAAGUGAGCCAGGGUCACCUUAACCAGCAGUGGUCUGCAAACAGAAACUUUGCAGAAACUACAUGUCCCCAGCUUGCAAUCUAACACUUUGGCCCCUUACUUUGCCACAUGAGCUGAUAGUCAGGCAGCCUAUCCUAUGACCUGUCACACCAGCUGUCUCUGCUGUUAGGUAAUCCACUACAGAGCACCAAGGAAUACCCUGCAGAUCAGCACCCCCAGGUCACUCCUGACUAAC